rnacentral:rRNA from 1 species
AGCUCCAAUAGCGUAUAUUAAAGUUGCUGCAGUUAAAAAGCUCGUAGUUGCAUUUCCGAGGCAAGGGAUUAGUCCGACCUUUGGUGGGUAUUUAAUCCUCUUGCCUCGUCCUUGAGUGGUGCUUCUUGGUAUUAAGUUAUCGAGGAGAUAGCCGCUCAUCGUUUACUGUGAGAAAAUUAGAGUGUUCAAAGCAGGCUUAUGCCGUUGAAUAUAUUAGCAUGGAAUAAUAAGAUAGGACCUCGGUACUAUUUUGUUGGUUUGAGAACCAAGGUAAUGAUGAAUAGGGACAGUUGGGGGUAUUCGUAUUCAGUUGUCAGAGGUGAAAUUCUUAGAUUAACGGAAGACGAACUACUGCGAAAGCAUUUACCAGGGAUGUUUUCA